AUAGGGACCGUUUCCCCUAUACUUUUCUCGUGGGAGUGAAUAAGUCUCACAAGAUCUGAUGGUUUGAUAAGGGGAAACCCGUUUCUCUUGGCUCUCAUUCUUUCUCUUGCUGCCGCCAUGUUCAAGGUGCCCUUCACCUUCUGCCAUGAUGGUGAGGCCUCCCUAGCCACGAGGAAUUAUCACUGGACCAGAGGACAACAUGUAAAAGGGUUUCAGAAUGGCAUGAUGGGAAGAAACACACUAAUAAAAUGAUGAGACAUGAAGAGAAUUUAAAAAUAUACAAUGAUCAGCUGCGAAGAAUUGACCAGAAAAGCCUGGAUUUUACUCAUUGGGUGUCCAGUGUCCAUCCAGUCCUCAUACAAUUCAAGGGAAGUGACUCUUUUCUCUGCAAGGGAGCCAGUCCUGAACUAUCCAAGUCAACCGAGGCAACCCCACUUCCUUGCCGCUACUUGGAUGAAACAUGGGCAUGUGACUCAGUUACAGCGAGAGAGGAUGAGGAGGCGUGCUGAGAACACCUUUGGGAAGGCCGCCGAUUCCUGAGAAGAACAUGGCAGCAGAACAGAUGGCCUCAUCCUGCCUCUGGAAAUUGCUGUGUGUGUCUGUGAGAAAUGAAAGGGUGUGGCCAUCUUGACCCAGGAUGGGAGCCAGCCUCAGGACACGCAGUGAUGCCAGAAUGGUUCCCAAAGCAUCAGGUCAGUGGGUCAACUAACUCGUGAGAUCUGUUCCACCCCGACACUCCCAGCAUAUAGGAAACUGAAUUUCCUUGCUUUUUGAAUCAGUUUGAGUCAGAUCAGAAUUUUUAGCAAGAACUAAAGAUUAAACCUUCCUUAAAUGUAUAUUUUAAAUUUCCUCUUAAAAAUUAUGACAAUCGUGGUCUUUCAAAGCACAGAAGAGGAGGAAUUCUCUCCUCCAUUUGUCUAGGGGCAAGGAAAUAAAUGGCAUGGCAGAGACUGCUAGCUGUUCAAUGAAAGCACAAGCACUCAAUGAAACCAUUGUAUUUCCUGCUUGAACAGACCAAUGAAUAAGUGAUCAAGGACCAUUCUAAGCUGCAAUCUUCCAGUUCUAUAAACAUUAUUAUUCGGAUUCAAAAAACUACUAGCUAGAGCCUAUUGAUCCUCUAGUUCCCUCCUUUUCAGAGUACCAGCAUACAAAUCGUCUCAUUUGAUUUCCUUCUAGAAGCACAAGCUGGGCGUGGAAGACUGUAUAAAAGUGGCAGGAAAGUAUGAAUGGCCAAUGGCACAAGAUGAAACUGAAAGUGAUAUUCCUGUUUUAAUACUUUCUCUUUGACAAAGCCUUUAAGAUUAAUGAAUCUCGGCUGGAUGCGGUGGCUCAUGCCUGUAAUCCCAGCACUUUGGGAGGCUGAGGCAGGCAGAUCACAAGGUCAGGAGAUCGAUAUCAUCCUGGCCAAUAUGGUGAAACCCCAUCUCUAUUAAAAAUACACACACACACACACACAAAUUAGCCAGGUGUGGUGGUGCGCCUGUAGUCCCAGCUACUCAGGAGGCUGAGGGAGGAGAAUCGCUUGAACCCAGGAGGCAGAGAAGGUGGUGAGCUGAGAUCGCGCCACGGCACUCCAGCCUGGCGACAGAGUGAGACUCUGUCUCAGAAAAAAAAAAAAAAAGAGUCUCCUACUUUUUAAGUGAUGAGUGGUUGGGAUUGCCAGUUUUGGUUCUGGCGUAGACUCAAGAGACAAAAAUGCAAGCUGGCAGGUCCUAUAGUGAAAUUUGGAGUGAAUCCUGUAGCAGCUGAUGAGGAACUAUGAGACAGUGGCCUAUAUUGCUGAAUAGAGGCGCAUCUCACUGUCCACUUGUUGGUGUAUGUUCUCAUAAAUUCAUAAUCAUUCUUUCAAAUGUGGCUCAACAAUCAAAUACUAAGGAGCACUACCUGAAAUCACAAAGACAGUUUCUUUGUGAGUAUUGCACCUGCUUCAUAGCUAUUGGUUCUUAGCACUGUUGUGUGUUCAAUCUUUCAUUAGAUUAUAUACUCCUUAAGACAGGAUCAGGAGUUAUAUUUUGUUCAAUAUACACUAUGUUGAUUUCACACGAAAUAAAAUUUAAGUGUAUUUGUGUACCAUACGAGGAGACAUAAACAAUAUUAUGUACGAA
rnacentral:antisense_RNA from 1 species